UGAACCUCCAGAAGCAGAUCUGUGGUGGUA
rnacentral:piRNA from 1 species